CCAAGUAUGGCAAUGGUGGUGGUAGUCGGCUUUGGUUGAUUGGUACUGCAACUUGUGAGACGUAUUUAAGAUGUCAAGUUUAUCAUGCUUCCAUGGAGAAUGAUUGGGACUUGCAGGCUGUGCCUAUUGCUGCCCGAGCGCCUCUUCCUGGAUUGUUUCCGAGGUAUGGUUCGUAGUCUUCUAUUGAUUUCAAUCUGUUUAUGUAUGAAUAGCUUAUUCAAUUUUUGGCGAUAUUUUUGUGUAGGUUUGAACUAUUUAGCUGUGUAGUUUGCAUCUGAUUUGAUUAGGUGGUUAGGAGUUGACCGAUAUGGUUCGAAUUUGGGUAGUAGAAGAUAACUGAUUGUUAAUCUAAGUAGAACGACACCUUUUCAUUUCUCAGAUUCAUUUUGACUUUAGAACAGCUUAAGUUCUCAGAUUCAUUCUGUUGUUGGUUUUUGAUUGAAUUCUUCAAACUUAACCUAUAUCAUGUUUAUUAGGCUUGGUACCACUGGGAUCCUUAAUAGCCCAGUUGAAUCAUUAUCCUCGAUCAAGGGAUUUCCGACUAUUUCCACCAUUCCGAUGCGGCCACUGAUGCAUGAGAACCUGGAUUCUUCUCGGAAAUCAAGUUGUUGCUCCCAAUGUAUGCAAAAUUAUGAACGGGAAUUGGAAAAGUUUGUGGCCAAUGAGUUGGACAAACCAUCUUCUGUAACUAAACCGGAAGGAGCCAAAGCAUCUGCUCUCCCUCCAUGGCU
rnacentral:lncRNA from 1 species